rnacentral:rRNA from 1 species
GCAUAUCAAUAAGCGGAGGAAAAGAAACCAACAGGGAUUGCCCCAGUAACGGCGAGUGAAGCGGCAACAGCUCAAAUUUGAAAUCUGGUCCCCUUUGGGGGCCCGAGUUGUAAUUUGAAGAGGAUGCUUUUGGCGAGGCGCCGUCCGAGUUCCCUGGAACGGGACGCCGCAGAGGGUGAGAGCCCCGUACGGUCGGACGCCGAGCCUCUGUAAAGCUCCUUCGACGAGUCGAGUAGUUUGGGAAUGCUGCUCAAAAUGGGAGGUAAACCCCUUCUAAAGCUAAAUACCGGCCAGAGACCGAUAGCGCACAAGUAGAGUGAUCGAAAGAUGAAAAGCACUUUGAAAAGAGAGUUAAAAAGCACGUGAAAUUGUUAAAAGGGAAGCGCUUGCGACCAGACUUGCGCCCGUCGGAUCAACUGUCGCUUGCGGCGGUGCACUCCGGCGGGCUCAGGCCAGCAUCAGUUCGCCUGGGGGGAGAAAGGCGGCGGGAAUGUGGCUCUUCGGAGUGUUAUAGCCCGCCGUGUAAUACCCUCGGGUGGACUGAGGACCGCGCGUAUGCAAGGAUGCUGGCGUAAUGGUCGUCAGCGACCCGUCUUGAAACACGGACCAAGGAGUCGUCCUAAUAUGCGAGUGUACGGGUGUCAAACCCCUGCGCGUAAUGAAAGUGAACGGAGGUGAGAGCUUCGGCGCAUCAUCGACCGAUCCUGAUGUUAUCGGAUGGAUUUGAGUAAGAGCAUAUUGGGCCGGACCCGAAAGAAGGUGAACUAUGCCUGUGUAGGGUAAAGCCAGAGGAAACUCUGGUGGAGGCUCGCAGCGGUUCUGACGUGCAAAUCGAUCGUCAAACAUGGGCAUGGGGGCGAAAGACUAAUCGAACCUUCUAGUAGCUGGUUUCCGCCGAAGU